AAUUUGACACUUUGUUAACUACAACUUGGUUUAAAACUAAUUGCAGUAGUUUGUGAUCUCAAGAGAUCCGGGCAAAGAUACUAAUAAUAAAUGAGAAUACCGGUAUUUGUAGUUCAGGGUUGACACGAGGGGUCCUUGGUGCUCUCUGAGCUUGUUUGUUUUCUUGCAGAUGUUUCAUUACACAACAACAGCACUCUUUACUAGCACCGAUGAGGUUACCUGGUUUCAUUACCUGGGUAAUGAAACAUCUGCAAGAAAACAAGCUCCGAGAGCACCAAGGACCCUGCAAACAUACCAAUAUUCCCUUCAAAAUUUAGAUUGCAUUUCUUUAGGAAAUUAAGUCAAAAGUCCAUGAUUUUUCAUCCCAUUGCAGUUUUAUAUUAAAACGAGAGAAAGUGAGGUAAUAAGAUGUUUAGUAAGAAUUGCCUGCGACAUAUAAUUGUAGCGAAACCCCUUUAGGAACACAUGCCAGCUUUUUAAAAAAAUGCUAUAAAUUCUUGUAUAAUUUCUACAUGAAAAGUUGUAGAAAUUUCUCCCACAGAACUUUCUGUAGCAGCAAAGCAGAGGCUGACAGCGACAGUAUUCGGGCGGAGGUACCUCCGCUUUUUAACGAAAUAAGACCUACAGAAAUGCUCAACAUCAACCUAAUACUGUAAAGUGACCAGUGUCAGAUAAAAACGGAAGCUCGAUCAUUCCGGGAGAGUCGUCGACAGUCCUCGAAUGACUCAAAAACUAGCGGGGUCUCCCUCUCUCACCAGCGCCAGUCACUUUCAGUGUAUGUGUACUCUAGCGGUGGCGGCGGCUGCGGCAGCGAAGGCGAGGAUAGGCAAAUUGCGUAGAACCCGAGUAGGAAGGUUUCCGUGGCUGAGCACAGCAAUUGCGCACGUCCCUUACAAAUAUAUGGAUCACAGAUACUUUGCCUCAGUCUUAUAAGAAAGCCACUGCGCCUGCUUUCCUACAACCCUACAGCUGCAGGGAGAAUAAGCAAACACAGCGGCGGGGCAGAAAGACAACUGCGGUCGAGGCGUGCGAUUUAUUCAUCUGGCACGUGCGGAGAGGCCCGGGCGGAUCAGCUGUAUUUGUUUAAUGAAAGGGGCAAAGAGAAAGGAGGUAAGCAAGCGAGUUGCGCCAGAGAGCGAGAGAAGUUGGGGGGAGAGAGAGACUUAAACGCCGCACGCCAGAAAAGAAAGCUGCAGGUGUCUGCAAGGCGGAGACCAUCGACCGCCCUGGAGCCAUGAAGCCCGGAAUUAGCAAGGGAGGGUGCAUUGAAAAAGCUGGGACGAGGCCGCUUUGCCACACCAGAGGUGCACGUGGCAGCUGCACCAGAGGGAAUGUGGUGUGGGAAGACCCUGAGGAAGGCCCUCAGUGGCGACAGGCCCUUUGCAUCCUGCCCUCAGGCGCAGCUAAAGGCUGGAGGCGGUGGUGGUUCUCUUAUUCCUUCCCUCUCGCUUUUUCUGAGACGCAAGUGAGCCCUCGGACCCCAGUUCCUCUCCCCGAGCGUUUUCCACAUUUGAAGCCCUCCAGUUCUCUUGUGCUGGUUUGGGACUGGCGUCAGAGGCAGGUCUCCCUUAAUAUGAGAGCAAAAAGAAGGCCACUGCUAUUCUCAGCUCCUCCCUUUGAAGAGGCUCCCAUUUCCCCUGUUGAUUAGAAUAACCAUAUUGGAAUCUUGGUAUGAUACUUUUCAAUGGCGCUUUUUGCAUCAAACCCUAGUCCUGAGCCCUACUCAGUUGAAUGGAAAAUGAAGCCUCCAACUCUUGUCAAGUUUUUUAAAAAGGGGAAAUUGGGUUAGAUUUUGUUGAGAGGUUAAUCAUAAACAGUUGGGGGGAGGUGUUGCCCUAAUUUUUUUGGGGGUGGGUGGGUCUUAAUUUCAGUGUCAUCUUCCGUUUGUGUGUGUGUGUGU